GUGCAGCAGGCGCGAAACUUCACAAUGUGCGAAAGCACGAUGAGGGAAUCCCAAGUGCUUGCUCGUAAGAGUAAGCUGUUUCUCUGUCUAAAACGCAGAGAGAGUAAGGGCUGGGUAAGACGGGUGCCAGCCGCCGCGGUAAUGCCUGCAGCUCGAGUGGUGGCCGCUAUUAUUGGGCCUAAAACGUCCGUAGCCGGUUUAUUAAAUGCCUGGGUAAAUCGGACCGCUUAACGGUUCGAAUUCCGGGUAGACUGAUAAACUUGAGACCGGGAGAAGCUAGAGGUACUCCUGGGGUAGAGGUGAAAUUCUGUAAUCCUAGGGGGACCACCAGUGGCGAAGGCGUCUAGCUAGAACGGGUCUGACGGUGAGGGACGAAGCCCUGGGGCGCAAACGGGAUUAGAUACCCGUGUAGU
rnacentral:rRNA from 1 species